rnacentral:rRNA from 1 species
CGCUCUUUGGAAAUAUAAGUUUAAUAUAAAGAGUCGGACCUGCCCGGUGACAUAUGUUAAACGGCCGCGGUACUCUGACCGUGCAAAGGUAGCAUAAUCAUUUGCCUUUUAAUUGAAGGCUUGUAUGAAUGGUUUGACGAGAGCUAAGCUGUCUCCUUUUAAAUAUCUAGAAAUUAAUUUAUAGGUGAAGAGGCCUAUAUAUAUUUGAGGGACAAGAAGACCCUAUUGAGUUUGAGUAAAAGUAAGAGUGGAUAUUUUAUUGAGCUAUUGUGAGAUAAAGAGUUAUAUAUGUAUAUAAAUUGGGCUUUUAGUUAAUCUUUAGUUGGGGCGACUGAGGAGCAUGAAAAGCAUCCUUUAAAAAAUAAAAUUAUGAUUGAUUGAUUAGUUUGAUCCAAUUUUUAUUGAUCAAGGGAAAAAAUUACCAUAGGGAUAACAGCGUAAUCUUCUUGGAGAGUUCUUAUUGAAAAGAGGGUUUGCGACCUCGAUGUUGGACUAAGAUGUCCUAGGGGUGUAGAAGCUUCUAAGGGUUGGUCUGUUCGACCAUUAAAAUCUU